rnacentral:rRNA from 1 species
UUGUUCGGAAUUACUGGGCGUAAAGCGCACGCAGGCGGAUUGAUUAGUCGGGGGUGAAAUCCCGGGGCUCAACCUCGGAAUUGCCUUCGAUACUGUCAGUCUUGAGUCCGGGAGAGGUGAGUGGAAUUCCUAGUGUAGAGGUGAAAUUCGUAGAUAUUAGGAAGAACACCAGUGGCGAAGGCGGCUCACUGGCCCGGUACUGACGCUCAUGUGCGAAAGCGUGGGGAGCAAACAGG